UGCUGGACUAAUGAUUCACCCUGCAGUCUGUGUCUCCGGUCUCCACUGCCUGGUUCCAGGAUUCAGCCCUUCGUGACACAGUCGCGUCCUCCCGAGCACUUGGAGGAGCCUGCCUUGCACAGAGCGCGGUGUCUGGGGCUGGAAUCCUGUGAGAGCAGCCCUGCCCGCCGCUGUCUGUCGCCUGGGCAGAAGUCAGCAGACCUGGGCAGAUGCUUCGGAGACCUGGCCUUUCCUCGUGUCAUUGCUGGGGCGUGGCUAAAACACGUCCUCUGUCCUGCCUGCAAAGUCUGAAUUCCCCGCAGACUCCGAAUCGUGUUUGGUGCAAUAAGGUGGAUGUUGGAAGAGCAGCACUGUGACAUGGGGCUUCGCCAGGGCCGCGGAGAACCACUCCUUGUCUGGACAGCCAGCUUGCCUUCGAGGGGAAUUAGACAAUGAAAUCGCCUGCACCUAGGCCCUGCUCUAACCCCUUUAUUGUUCUUCGAGACACUUUCUCUUUGCAUUUUCAAUAUCCAAAUGCCAUC